rnacentral:lncRNA from 1 species
UACAUUUUGAUUUUUUUACUUAAAGAAACCAUAAUUUUUUGUUUUCCAAAACUAACGGCGUUAAAAAUCAACUGAGGUAGUUAACAAUAACGUGUCACGUCACUUUUUUUUCUAACACGCAGUCAAUUUUUUCCGGCUUUUCUCCCUCCAUCACUAGCGUGUCUUUUGCAUCUUCGUCCCCAUCCACCGCCAUCAUCAACUCUUUUUCCACCUCGCCAUCUUCGUCUCGUCCACUGCGUGUCUCCUUCCUAGCACAACUUCUAUGUUUGGGAAUAAAAGUAACCAACUUUCCUUCCAUUCACAAGCAGAAUAAGAAACAUAAUGAAAAAUUAACCAAAAUUGAAG